rnacentral:rRNA from 1 species
AUGAUAAUGACAAUAUACUAUCUAUAAGUCUUGACCAAAUUACGUGCCAGCAGUCGCGGUAACACGUAGAAGACUAGUGUUAUUCAUCUUUAUUAGGUUUAAAGGGUACCUAGACGGGAAAUCAAGCCAUAAUAGGGACUAAUUUUCUAGAGUUUUAUGUGAGAAGGGGCGAAUUUCCGGAGGAAAGUUGAUAUUUUGUGAUACCGGAAGGACGGGUAACGGCGAAGGCAACCUUCUAUGUAAAAACUGACGUUGAGGGACGAAGCCUUGGGUAACGAGAAGGAUUAGAUACCCUAGUAGUCCUUGGAGACAAUUAUGAAUGCCAUAGGUUAAAUAUAUUUUGGCCUAUAAAUGAAAGUGUAAGCAUUCCACCUCAUGAGUAAAGCGGCAACGCCCAAAUUGAAAUCAUUAGACCGUUUCUGAAACCAGUAGUGAAGUAUGUUAUUUAAUUCGAUGAUCCGCGAAUAACCUUACCACGCAUUGAAUAUUAUUCAAUUAUUACAAGCGCUGCACGGCUGUCUUCAGUUAAUGUCGUGAGAUUUUGGUUCGUUCCAUAAAUUAACGAAAACCCUUGCUUUAUUUGUUUUUAUAAAGUAGUUCUCCGUUAUAUUGGAUAAGUUAAAAGGGACUAAGACAAGUCAUCAUGGCCUAAAUAGC